UUGAGGGUGACUGCGAAUCUAAAGGAAGUCGGCCGCAAAUAUGGGGGCUUACGAACAGAAACUGUAUGUGAGGCGGAUUUAGUUCGGGUGAUGUUGCCUAACAAACAGAAACCCAAUACUGCACAGGGACUAUUACGUAGAUACAGGGACCACCCAUCUGUCCGUAGU
rnacentral:ncRNA from 1 species